rnacentral:rRNA from 1 species
GUGGGGAAUUUUGGACAAUGGGCGCAAGCCUGAUCCAGCCAUGCCGCGUGCAGGAUGAAGGCCUUCGGGUUGUAAACUGCCUUUGUACGGAACGAAAAGACUCUGGUUAAUACCUGGGGUCCAUGACGGUACCGUAAGAAUAAGCACCGGCUAACUACGUGCCAGCAGCCGCGGUAAUACGUAGGGUGCAAGCGUUAAUCGGAAUUACUGGGCGUAAAGCGUGCGCAGGCGGUUAUGUAAGACAGAGGUGAAAUCCCCGGGCUCAACCUGGGAACUGCCUUUGUGACUGCAUAGCUGGAGUGCGGCAGAGGGGGAUGGAAUUCCGCGUGUAGCAGUGAAAUGCGUAGAUAUGCGGAGGAACACCGAUGGCGAAGGCAAUCCCCUGGGCCUGCACUGACGCUCAUGCACGAAAGCGUGGGGAGCAAACAGGAUUAGAUACCCUGGUAGUCC